CGGGGCGUGGCGCAGCUUGGAAGCGCGCUUGACUGGGGGUCAAGAGGUCGCAGGUUCAAAUCCUGUCGCUCCGACCA
rnacentral:tRNA from 1 species